GAUGAAGAACGUAGCGAAAUGCGAUACGUAAUGUGAAUUGCAGAAUUCAGUGAAUCAUCGAAUCUUUGAACGCAUAUUGCGCUCUCUGGUAUUCCGGAGAGCAUGCUUGUUUGAGUAUCAGUAAACACCUCAACUUCCAUAUCUUUUUUGAAAUGGGAGUUGGACUUGAGUGAUCCCAACGCUUUUCCUCACCGAAAAGUGGCGGGUUACUUGAAAUGCAGGUGCAGCUGGACUUUUCUCUGAGCUAUAAGCAUAUCUAUUUAGUCUGCCUAAAAAACAGAUUAUUACCUUUGCUGCAGCUAACAUAAAGGAGAUUAGUUCUUGUGCUGACUGAUGCAGGAUUCACAAAGACGGCUUCGGCCGACUUUGUAAACUCGAUCUCAAAGCAAGUAAGACUACCCGCUGAACUUAAGCAUAUCAAUAAGCGGAGGA
rnacentral:misc_RNA from 1 species